GAAAGCCCCGCAGGCA
rnacentral:tRNA from 1 species